GUAAUAGUUAAUUUGUUUUUAUUAAUAAAAUUACUUUAAAUUUUUUAAGUGAAAUUUUAAAUUUAAUUAAUUUUAUAUAAAAGAGUUGAUGAAGCUAAAAAAUUUUAAUAAUAAACUAGGAUUAGAUACCCUAUUAUUUAAAAAGUAAAGUUAAAUACUUGAGUAGUAAUAGAUAUGAUCUUCAAACUUAAAGAAUUUGGCGGUGUUUUAGUCUAUUUAGAGGAACCUGUCCUGUAAUCGAUAAUCCACGUUGGACCUUACUAAAAUUUGUUGUCAAUUUGUAUAUCGCCGUUAUCAGAAUAUCUUAAAAGAGGAAUAAUUUUCUUAAUUUAUUAUUAUAAUUGAUGUCAGGUCAAGGUGCAGUUUAUAUUUUAGUAGAGAUGGGUUACAAUAAAUUUAUUUAAACGUUAAAUUAUUUGAAAUAAUGAUUUUAAGGUGGAUUUAAAAGUAAAAUAAUGAAUAUAAUUUAUUUGAUUAUAGCUCUAAAACAUGCACACAUCG
rnacentral:rRNA from 1 species